rnacentral:tmRNA from 1 species
GGGGACGAGUGGUUUCGACAGGGAGUGUUGAAUCAAAAUUGCAGGUCGAGGUGUCAUCAACCUCGUUAAUCAGAUGGCAAAAAAGUAACUGGCAAGAAACAGCUAGCUUUAGCAGCUUAAUUUAGCUACUACGUCUUCCGUUCCUUUCCCGGAGGGGCGACAAGGCGACAUAAUCGGGAUGCUGUUCUAACUGAGAGCCAAUCGGUUAGAACAAAAGAUUAACUGGCUAGUUUUAGUAUCUAUCCUCGCUAAUCAGGUGGUAUUAAGACGAAUUUUAAUGAUUAGCUAAACCUGUAGUAAAUUCUGAAACGGUGUUUUCUGGACGGGGAGUUCGACCCUCCCCCGUCUCCACCA